rnacentral:sRNA from 1 species
AAGGUGAACGCUGCGCUCGGGCUGCCUCGCCUGUUACCUCCGCCGCCGGGCAUGCUCAGCGUCUGCAGCUGCCGGACCAGCUCCGGCAUGCGGUCCCAGUGGCCCUCGGCGCGGCAGCGCUCCAGCUCGCUCUCCACCUUCAGAUAUUGAUGACCAUGAGAUCCCUGCUCAGAACCCCCUUCCUGUGUGGCCUGCUCUGGGCCUUUUGUGCCCCAGGCGCCAGGGCUGAGGAGCCUGCAGCCAGCUUCUCCCAACCCGGCAGCAUGGGCCUGGAUAAGAACACAGUGCACGACCAAGAGCAUAUCAUGGAGCAUCUAGAAGGUGUCAUCAACAAACCAGAGGCAGAGAUGUCGCCACAAGAAUUGCAGCUCCAUUACUUCAAAAUGCAUGAUUAUGAUGGCAAUAAUUUGCUUGAUGGCUUAGAACUCUCCACAGCCAUCACUCAUGUCCAUAAGGAGGUAGGUCUGGCAGUGGCUUGGGGGACUGUAUCACAGAAAGGCUUCCCUUUGUUAAUUUGGUCCCCAGUCUUGUUGACUUGUGUUGUCCUUAUGUGCCAAGAGUGCUGCUU